UAAGACUUCCAAGUAAAUACAGACGUUUCAGUUGGAGGUUGGGGGGAGGAAGACAUUUGGUAAAUCUUGCUUCCGAGUCAUGAACAACCUAAGUUGUUUCUGCAUUGCCUAGUUACCAUUUCUGUUUAGUUGGCAAUGGUGUUCACUGAAAAUAUUUUAGUUUCUGCUCCUGACAGCUACAAAUGUGCGAUCAUGUGUAAUCUUAUAAACUCAUAUACUGUUAAGUGGAUGCCCAAUACACCUCCUCAAAUGUGAGCAGUGGAUAGCAUUGCCAAGUUACAAAGUCAAUACUGAAUAGCACAGUCAUGCUAAGCUAAUUUACAAAAAGUUUUCACUGGCUGGUCCAUUUCUUCAGCUGUUAAUAGUCUAGCCUGACAUAUGUAGAACAAAGUUCAAGAGCAAACAUGAACAAUUUGCUAGACUAGUUGGCAGAAGCCAGACUGAACCAAUGGCCUCAGGAGACUGAUGCUGACUUUAUGCCAAUUUCAAAUCUCUGCUCACUCUCCCAGUUUACCAAAAAAGCUACUUUUCCUUUCAGCCACACUGCUAAGGGCAACAUGCAGAAGCCUGGUAUCUGACUAAUGCUCACCAAGUGUUACAAGGCUGGAGUGGAGGGAAAUAUGCAACCUUGUGACCCUGACUCAGAAUAGCCAAACUCCAUCUGCUCUGAAACUUUAAAUGGACUUUAUCCAGAAAAAGCUCAGAAAGUGGAAGUACAGAAUCUUACAAAACCAGAGAAGAAUGAACAGGAACACUUCCAAGUACGAGGUAGUUGAUGAGCCAUUACAUCAAUGAGGAGGUACUUCCUUGCUGCAUUUCUUGGCUACUCCUAGAAGCCCAGCUUCUUCUGUUUAAUGUCUAAAGAGGUCUUUCCCCCCUGUUACUUUCCUGGUGAUAACUUCACUUUAUUUAUCUGCAUCAAAUUUUCUUAGUAAGAUUCUUCUCCACAGUCCUCAAGAAAUUCAGAUUCUCUAAAAAUUUAAAGUGUGUUGCUGUUAGGCAGCUGAACAUUGCUACUCUCAGGAGGAAAGAGAGCAUCUGAAAUCUGGAGUCUUUCUUUCAUUGGUAAAAUCAGAGAACACCAAAGAAAAUAGAGCAUUUAUGUAAAAAUUUGCUGUAUGUUGUCCAGUCUCUGCUUAAAGCUUUUAGAUUUGUGUAACUUUUCUCUAGAACCAAUAUAAGUUAUAUGUGAAAAAAACCCCCAUGCUUCAAACUAGGGAAUUAUUUGGCUUAUGCUACUGUGGUGUCAUUAACAUAUUUUUAAUCCAUACAGGUUUUCUCCUGUUGUUUUUACAUGCAUGAAGUAGGACCUCACAACUGCUAUUCAACUAUGUGGCUGCUGUAUCUGGGUUUCCUGUUACACAAAUCAACACACUUAGUUUGAAACCAACAAAUGCCACCUGUAUGUACCAACCAGGAUGCAGCCCAUAGUCAAGGUAGCUUCUUUUCCCACUUGCUAAUUGGCUCACCCUUUUUUUCUCUGCCAGAAUACAUUAUUAGAGAUGCCUGUGCUUUAUUCAGGUCGUUCUUGGUGUGAAUUAACUGCAAGUAUAAGCCUGCAAGCAAAUUCAUUGUAGGUGUAUUUUAAUGGCUGUGAAAAGAAAACUGUAAGCAUUACAUAUAACCUGAGGUGUACUGUGUAAUUUGUACCAUAUAAAUAAAUUAUUAAAAUUGUCUUUCUUUUUUCAUUUGCAGAAUUUCAUAAUUUGAUUUUUAUGGGCAUGUGUUGGUGCCCCCAUCAGGCUCUUAGAAAAAUUAAAUCUGUAAUCCUGUGAACCAAGUGUUGCAGAAAGAAUUAACUCAUUUACUGUAUUGUGAUGAAUAGAAUAGCUGCAUUGAAUGUAUAUGAAGCUGCACAAUUAAUUACUACAUAAAUGUCUUGUCAAGUGAAA